ACGAACGCUGGCGGCGUGCUUAACACAUGCAAGUCGAACGAUGAAGCCAGCUUGCUGGUGGAUUAGUGGCGAACGGGUGAGUAACACGUGGGCAACCUGCCCCUGGCUCUGGGAUAAGCCCGGGAAACCGGGUCUAAUACUGGAUAUGAGAUCGAGAGGCAUCUCUUGGUUUGGAAAGUUUUUCGGCUAGGGAUGGGCCCGCGGCCUAUCAGCUUGUUGGUGGGGUAAUGGCCUACCAAGGCGACGACGGGUAGCCG
rnacentral:rRNA from 1 species